CGGGGAGUAGCGCAGCCUGGUUAGCGCACAGCGUUCGGGACGCUGGGGUCGGGGGUUCGAAUCCCCCCUCCCCGA
rfam:Candidatus Aminicenantes bacterium RBG_19FT_COMBO_59_29 rbg_19ft_combo_scaffold_1426, whole genome shotgun sequence.